AGUGAACGCUGGCGGUAGGCCUAACACAUGCAAGUCGAACGGCAGCACAGUAAGAGCUUGCUCUUACGGGUGGCGAGUGGCGGACGGGUGAGGAAUACAUCGGAAUCUACUUUUUCGUGGGGGAUAACGUAGGGAAACUUACGCUAAUACCGCAUACGACCUACGGGUGAAAGCAGGGGAUCUUCGGACCUUGCGCGAUUGAAUGAGCCGAUGUCGGAUUAGCUAGUUGGCGGGGUAAAGGCCCACCAAGGCGACGAUCCGUAGCUGGUCUGAGAGGAUGAUCAGCCACACUGGAGCUGAGACACGGUCCAGCCUCCUACGGGAGGCAGCAGUGGGGAAUAUUGGACAAUGGGCGCAAGCCUGAUCCAGCCAUACCGCGUGGGUGAAGAAGGCCUUCGGGUUGUAAAGCCCUUUUGUUGGGAAAGAAAAGCAGCAGGUUAACACCCCGCUGUUCUGACGGUACCCAAAGAAUAAGCACCGGCUAACUUCGU
rnacentral:rRNA from 1 species